GUGCUAGCAGCCGCGGUAAUACCGGCAGCCCAAGUGAUGGCCGCUGUUAUUGGGCCUAAAGCGUCCGUAGCUGGCCGACCAAGUCUCCCGGGAAAUCCACCCGCCCAACGGGUGGGCGUCCGGUAGAAACUGGCCGGCUUGGAACCGGAAGGCUCAGAGAGUACGUCCGGGGUAGGAGUGAAAUCCCGUAAUCCCGGACGGACUACCGAUGGCGAAAGCACUCUGAGAAGACGGCUUCGACAGUGAGGGACGAAAGCCAGGGUCUCCAACCGGAUUAGAUACCCUAGUAGUCC
rnacentral:rRNA from 1 species